UCGAGCGGACAGAAGGGAGCUUGCUCCCGGAUGUUAGCGGCGGACGGGUGAGUAACACGUGGGUAACCUGCCUGUAAGACUGGGAUAACUCCGGGAAACCGGAGCUAAUACCGGAUAGUUCCUUGAACCGCAUGGUUCAAGGAUGAAAGACGGUUUCGGCUGUCACUUACAGAUGGACCCGCGGCGCAUUAGCUAGUUGGUGGGGUAAUGGCUCACCAAGGCGACGAUGCGUAGCCGACCUGAGAGGGUGAUCGGCCACACUGGGACUGAGACACGGCCCAGACUCCUACGGGAGGCAGCAGUAGGGAAUCUUCCGCAAUGGACGAAAGUCUGACGGAGCAACGCCGCGUGAGUGAUGAAGGUUUUCGGAUCGUAAAGCUCUGUUGUUAGGGAAGAACAAGUGCGAGAGUAACUGCUCGCACCUUGACGGUACCUAACCAGAAAGCCACGGCUAACUACGUGCCAGCAGCCGCGGUAAUACGUAGGUGGCAAGCGUUGUCCGGAAUUAUUGGGCGUAAAGGGCUCGCAGGCGGUUUCUUAAGUCUGAUGUGAAAGCCCCCGGCUCAACCGGGGAGGGUCAUUGGAAACUGGGAAACUUGAGUGCAGAAGAGGAGAGUGGAAUUCCACGUGUAGCGGUGAAAUGCGUAGAGAUGUGGAGGAACACCAGUGGCGAAGGCGACUCUCUGGUCUGUAACUGACGCUGAGGAGCGAAAGCGUGGGGAGCGAACAGGAUUAGAUACCCUGGUAGUCCACGCCGUAAACGAUGAGUGCUAAGUGUUAGGGGGUUUCCG
rnacentral:rRNA from 1 species